rnacentral:rRNA from 1 species
UAAAAAGCUCGUAGUUGGAUCUGUGUAUCGGACGGCCGGUUCGCUGUUCGCAGCGUUUAACUGGUCGGUCCGGACGUCCUGCCGGUGGGCGUCCGCGAGAGCGGGCGUCCGUACAUCCCUCCGGGCUGCUCUUAACCGGGUGGCCCGGUGGGCCGGCACGUUUACUUUGAACAAAUUUGAGUGCUCAAAGCAGGCCUUUAGUUGCCUGAAAAUUGUGUGCAUGGAAUAAUGGAAUAGGGCCUCGGUUCUAUUUUGUUGGCUUUUCUGAACUUGAGGUAAUGAUUAAUAGGGACAGACGGGGGCAUUCGUAUUGCGACGUUAGAGGUGAAAUUCUUGGAUCGUCGCAAGACGAACGGAUGCGAAAGCGUUUGCCAAGAAUGUUUUCGCUAAUCAAGAACGAAAGUUAGAGGUUCGAAGGCGAUCAGAUACCGCCCUAGUUCUAACCAUAAACGAUGCCAGCCAGCGAUGCGCCGAAGUUCCUCCGAUGACUCGGCGCGCAGCUUCCGGGAAACCAAAGCUUUUGGGUUCCGGGG